GCCGGGCUAGGGACGCAGACGCUGCGGACGCUCACCCUACGACGCCCACAGCCUGGUCCCCUCUAAAAACUCUAAAAACUAGUGCGCUCCAGCCCGCGCCUUUCUCCGGUGCUCAAGGCGGGGGUGUAUUUCGUUUCUUUCUUUAAACCUCUGCACCGUCUCGGGGGCUCCGAGCGCGGGCCGCGCGGGCUAUUCCCCCCGGGGGCCUGCGCCAGCCUAAGGUGUGUCCCCGGCCGGGUCAGCGCUGCGCUCUGCGCAGUUUCUUUUCCUCUUAAAGCUUUUUCUUUCUCUUGUUUUUCCUUUUCUCUCUUUCUUUUAUUGUGUUCUCUCUGUCUCUCUUUCUUUUCCUUUUGUGAAUGGGCCGCGGUGUCUUUGUUCUGGAGAGAAGCGCCCGUGUCGCUGACUUUUGUGAACCAGAGAAGGAUCUUGUAAAACCUCCUUUUCUCCUUCCUACUCCUCCACUCCCACCCCUCCUCCUUGGCCCCUUUGAUUAGAUGUUCCCUCAUCGUCCAAAAAAAAAAUGUAAUUUCGUUGGUCUGGCGGCCACUUUCUUUGAACAUUAGCUCGCUUUCAGCUCCAACUUCAAUUAGAAGGAGUUGAUUUUGAGAGAUCAACAAAAGAACCGACCAAAGCCUUAUUAAAGGUCCUAAGAAGAUCUCCCGAGUCCUUUGAGAAGCAGUUAAGGAAACAGUGUGCCCUCCAUCAUAUUCUGUUACCGUAUUUUAUUCGGACUCCAAAGGAAAGUGUCGCUUGGGGGAGGGGGAAGCACUUUGAUGAGCGGCGGCCGCGGCCCCUUUUCACUCAGCGGGCUCCCCUUCCUUCUCCUCCUCCUCGCCCAGCGCCCCGUCCGCUCUCGGGGCCCGACCCCGCGGCCCGGGCAGCGCCGGCGCUCCCCUCCGCGAUGCGCCUGGCAGCGCCUUGACUCGCCCUCACACUUACUCCUGUUCAAACUUUUCACUCCGCCUGUUGGGGUGGAGGGGAGGGGGGAUUAGGAAGAAGGGGUAGGAAUUCCUCGAAAGGGAAUAAAGUCGUGCCUAAUAUUCAGGAGGAGGUGCCAUUUAGAAGAAUUGUGUUGCUCGGUGUUGGGGAGAAAAGAGUUUUUUGCGCUUUGAGAAGUCUACCCAGGUAGACGUGUUUGAGAAGUUUGUUCGGCUGGGAAAUGGGCUUUGCCAGUACGAACAACCCGGGGAAAUCGCGUCAAGGAGGCUCCUUCUGCGGCAUGUGGAAAAGAAAUUGAGGGGAGUGGGAACCCCAGGAGACGCCGAGGAGCAGGUAGGUGGCGGUGCCUCCCCUGCGGGUGCUGUUCCCGGACUCCGGAGUCCCGAGGCGCCGAGGCGGAUCUGCGCCCCUGGAGCCGCUCCCGCGCUCGGCAAAGUAGCCUGUGCCAGCACGAGCCGCCCGCGGCGUUCCAUCUGCAGGUGGCGGCGUGGGGAGGAAGACGCUGGGGCCCGCGGCGCGGCGAGAGGGGCCGGGGGCCCGCUCUCCUGCAGCCCGCGACUCUGGAGUCCUCGCGCCCACAACCGGGCCGCCGAGACGAGUGGCGCGCGGGAGAACGAGGGAACCGGUUCUCCAGCACCUCGCCUCCUCUCUGCUACUCCCUCCGGGGCGCCGAAAGGGCGAGAGAAGCGCGGGGGCCCCGGGGCGGCCUCGGGACCGACGUCCCCCUCUGCGGCGGGUGCUCGGGCGCUGCGCUCGCCUUCC
rnacentral:lncRNA from 1 species